CCUGGAGUUUUUAGUCCCACAUCGGGCGGAGACCAAACGCCGGUGCGGUGGGACGGGCUAUAAAAAUCGCUCCCCGGCAUCCUUUUUUCCAUACUUACCUGGACGGGGUCGAUGGGUGAUCAAGAAGACCCAUGGCCUAAGGUAGGGGCCCUCAUUGCACUUGGAGGGAGCCCUGGCUUACCAUCUCCCCAAGUGGGAGAGUGGACGUCAUAAUUUGUGGCAGUGGGGGGACUCGCGUCCGCGCGGCCCCCUUCCAAUCCCUAAUCUCAAAAGUCUUUUCCUUGUUAUCAAGAAUCGUUAAGGGUGAAAUUUUGGAAUUUCUGGUUCGCAAUCAAGUAACAAUAGGAAGGAUGUAACAAUAGAAAUCUCUCACACCUGUUUAAAGACAAGGCCACCUAACCCUUACUGGCUGCCUCCACUGCCACUCCUAGUCUCUGCAUUGCUGUUAUCGCUAAUGGCAGCACAGAGCUUGCACCUGAAAAUUAUGACAAUGCAUAAUCCACAAUUUUGAUAUCUGCUGUAAAUGCUUCCUUUAAGAACAGAUGGAUCGUCCGGCAAGAACAAAGAACACAUCGGUUGGUUUUAGACAGAAAUUAAUUUCAUGUCCAUCCAUAAGUCUGUGACAUUUGAGUGGUAUUGGGUCCAUUCUUACAGAGAUGAUGCUGAGUGGGUAGCAGAUAAAACCCAUAUAGCACCUGAGCUUGAAUGUAUUGAAUUCCACUUUGAUGUUACCAUGUGAUUGUAAGUUCCCUUUGUUCACUUUUUUAAGUUUUUGGUUCUUGUAGUAUAAAGUCGACAUCUUCUAAUCCACUAGAUUUUGUAAAUCCAUUUGCAAGCUUUAUUAGAAGUUAAAAAAAUCACACGACUCUUCAAUAAUGAA